UAGUCCACGCCGUAAACGAUGUCGACUUGGAGGUUGUGCCCUUGAGGCGUGGCUUCCGGAGCUAACGCGUUAAGUCGACCGCCUGGGGAGUACGGCCGCAAGGUUAAAACUCAAAUGAAUUGACGGGGGCCCGCACAAGCAGCGGAGCAUGUUGCUUAAUUCGAGGCAACGCGAAGAACCUUACCUAGGUUUGACAUGUACCGAAAAGCCAUAGAGAUAUGGUGUCCUUCGGGGCGGUACACAGGGUGCUGCAUGGUUGUCGUCAGCUCGUGCCGUGAGGUGUUGGGUUAAGUCCCGCAACGAGCGCAACCCCUAUUCUUAGUUGCCAGCACAUAAUGGUGGGGACUCUAGGAAGACUGCCGGCGUAAGCCGCGAGGAAGGUGGGGACGACGUCAAAUCAUCAUGGCCUUUAUGCCCAGGGGCUACACACGUGCUACAAUGGGCAGGUACAACGGGGUCGCUAAGCCGCGAGGUGGAGCCAAACCGAGAAAGCCUGUCCCAGUUCGGGAUUGAAGUCUGCAACUC
rnacentral:rRNA from 1 species